UACGGAGGGUGCUAGCGUUGUUCGGAAUUACUGGGCGUAAAGGGCGCGUAGGCGGCCGUUUGCGUCGGAUGUGAAAGCCCGGGGCUCAACCUCGGAACGGCAUUCGAUACGGGACGGCUGGAGACCGGGAGAGGAGAGUGGAAUAGCCAGUGUAGAGGUGAAAUUCGUAGAUAUUGGCUGGAACACCGGUGGCGAAGGCGACUCACUGGCCCGUUACUGACGCUGAGGCGCGAAAGCGUGGGGAGCAAACAGG
rnacentral:rRNA from 1 species